AUCUCUCGCUCGACGCGUCGCGCUGUGCCUGCCAGCCANCCGUGAUGAUUUCUCAUCGGUUGACCUCGGAUCAGGUAGGGAUACCCGCUGAACUUAAGCAUAUCAAUAAGCGGAGGAAAAGAANCCAACCGGGAUUGCCUCAGUAACGGCGAGUGAAGCGGCAACAGCUCAAAUUUGAAAUCUGGCCCUCGCGGGGUCCGAGUUGUAAUUUGUAGAGGGCGUUUCGGGUGCGGUGCCGGUCUAAGUUCCUUGGAACAGGACGUCAUAGAGGGUGAGAAUCCCGUCUGCGAGUCGGCCACCAACCCCGGGUGAAACCCCUUCGACGAGUCGAGUUGUUUGGGAAUGCAGCUCAAAAUGGGUGGUAAAUUUCAUCUAAAGCUAAAUACCGGCCAGAGACCGAUAGCGCACAAGUAGAGUGAUCGAAAGAUGGAAAGCACUUUGGAAAGAGAGUUAAAAAGUACGUGAAAUUGUUGAAAGGGAAGCGCUUGCGACCAGACCUGCCCCCGGGCGAUCAUCCGCCAUUCGUGGCGGUGCACUCGCCCGGAUGCAGGCCAGCAUCGGUUCGGGCGGCGGGACAAAGGACUCGGGAACGUAGCUCUCUCCGGGGAGCCUUAUAGCCCGGGUCGUCAUGCCGCCCGCCUGGACCGAGGACCGCGCUUCGGCUAGGAUGCUGGCGUAAUGGUCGUAAGCGACC
rnacentral:rRNA from 1 species